GGUUUCCAUUCAGCAAUAGACUGUAAACAAGCCUGAUGUUUUGCCUUCAUUUAGGAAGACAUAUCUCAAGACCUAGUAACAGUUUGCUGCUGGCUGCAAAUGACUCUGAUCAUAGAGUGAACUAGCCCUUCAAGUCUCUUUCUCACUGACAUCCCCACAUCUCGUAUGCUUCAGCAUCAAAUCAGUGGUCUUCCCUAAUGUUCCAAAUUCUUUCAUACCUCUGGGCUUCUGCAUUUACUGUCUCCUCUGCCUGAGACUUCUAUGAUCUCUUCUAUUCAUCUGGUGAAUUCAUACUCACUCUUUGAGAUUUAGACCAAACUUCAGCUGCACCAGGAAGUGAUUCAGGCCAGGCUAGGUGCCUAUCUUCUAAGCUUCGAUAACACUCCACUGCACCCUUCUAUGCACUUAACACACUUCAUGAUAGUCUUGGUUUACUUAUUUCUGUGGUACUUCUACAAGAUUCUUGAAAACAUGGACUUAUAUUAUUCAUCUUAUUUUGUUUAUAUAUUCUCAUCUCCUAGUUAGUACAAUUCCUGGCACAUAGGAGAGCUCAUAAAUGUUAUUUAAAUGAAUAAACAAAUAAUUGAAUUAUUAGUAAAAAGCAGGCAAAUUAAGUAGAUUUCUCUACAUUGUGACUUGAAGAUCUUCCCAAAGAACAAAAAUACCUGAAAAGCCACCAUUAGAGAUUUACUAUAGAUUAUUUUGACCUGGCAGUAAAAUUGCAGCAUGGCCUUAAACAAUGCUGGCUUUCUUAGCUAAUAGUUUUUCAUCACAUUAAAGUACACUACAACCAUCCAUCUCCUCCAGAAACCUAAGAGUAGGGUUACAAAAGAACAUAAAAGGUAAGUUCCAAUAAGAGACAAUUCAUGUCUUAAAUUUACAGAAUGGAAUAAUGCUCAAGACAGGGAAGGUCUAAAUAAGUGAUUAGCACACCGUUUUGGGGAGCAUUCAGACUUGAGUUUGAAUCCUAGUUCUACCACUCAAUAGCUAUGAGAUUUGGGAAAAUGUACUUUCUUACUCCUGCAUCAAUUUCUUCAUCUGGAAAAUGGGAAUAUUAACAUCCAAAUCAUAAGAUUAAAUGAGAUAACAUAUAAAAUGCUUUUCAGGAGUUCCCAGGCUCAGGGUCAAAUCGGAGCUGUAGCUGCCAGCCUACGCCAGAGCCACGGCAACACAGGAUCCGAGCCGUAUCUGCAACCUACACCACAGCUCAUGGCAACGUUGGAUCCUUAACCCACUGAGCAAGGGCAGGGACUGAACCCAUAACCUCAUGGUUCCUAGUCGGAUUCGUUAACCACUGCGCCAUGACGGGAACUCCUGCACCACUUAUUGAAGAGACUGUCUUUCCUCCAAUGAGACUGUCUGUCCUUGCCUCCUUUGUCAUGGAUUAGUUAACCAUAGCACACAGGUUUAUUUUCAGGCUUUCUAUCCUGUCCCAUUGAUCUAUAUUUCUGUUUUUGUGCCAGUACCAUACUGUUUUGAUGACUGUAGCUUUGUAGUAUAGUCUUGAGUCAGGGAGCCUGCUUCCUCCAGUUCUGCUUUUCUUUUUCAAUAUUGCUUUAGCUAUUUUGGAUUUUUUGUGUUUCCAUACAAAUUUUUUUAUUCAUGUAUUUAUUAAAGUAUAGUUGAUUUGCAAUGUUGUGCCAAUUUCUGCUGUACAGCAAAGUGACCCAGUCAUGCAUAGCUAUACAUUCCCUUUCUUCUCUCUCUCUUUUUUUUUUUUCUAUCUUUUUGCCUUUUCUAGGGCCACUUCCUGCAGCAUAUGGAGGUUCCCAGGCUAGGGGUCUAAUCAGAGCUGUAGCCACCGGCCUACGCCACAGCCACAGCAACACGGGAUCCAAGUCACGUCUACAAACUACACCACAACUCAUGGAAACACCGGAUCCUUAACCCACUGAGCAAGGCCAGGGAUUGAACCCGAAACCUCAUGGUUCUUAGUCAGAUUCGUUAUCCAUUGAGCCACGACAGGAACUCCUUAUCUUAUCUUCCACCAUGGUCCAUCCCAAGAGAUUGGAUAUAGUUCCCUGUGCUAUGCAGCAGAACCUCAUUGCUUAUCCAUGCCAUAUAAAUUUUAAAAUGUCCUGUUCUAGUUCUGUGAAGAAUGGCAUUGGAUUAAGAAGAUGUGGUGCAUAUAUACAAUGGAAUACUACUUGGCCAUAAAAAAAGAACAAAGUAGAGUUCCCACUGUGGCUCAGUGAUAAUGAACCUCACUAGCAUCCAUGAGGUUCCAAGUUUGAUCCCUGGCCUCCCUCAGUGGGUUAAGGAUCUAGCACAGACUGGGCUCGGAUCCUGAAUUGCUGUGGCUCUAGCGUAGGCUGGCCACCGCAGCUCCAAUUUGAUUCCUAGCCUAGAAACUUCCAUAUGCUGCACAUGUAGCCCUAAAAAGCAAAAGAAAAAAGAAAAAAAAAAA
rnacentral:lncRNA from 1 species